GGAAGCAUAGCUCAGCUGGGAGAGCGCUCGCCUGACUAGCGGGAGGUCAUGGGUUCGAGCCCCGUUGCUUCCA
rfam:Lachnoclostridium sp. An76 An76_contig_7, whole genome shotgun sequence.